UUAAAACCUUCAAGAGCGGCAAGCCCUUCCCCUCUUCUCUUGGAGCCACCAUAUUCUCUCUCGAUUUAGAUCUCGGGAACCUUUACGAGCCAUUUUGUCUCAACCUCAAUCUCUCUUUCGAUUGUCGACCCCCAUUUUCACUUCCCUCACGCAUCGGCUGCAACCCACGUCCACAGCAACAAAUGAUGGUUGUGACGCACUGGCUCACAACGUCGAUGCUAACACUGACAACCAUUCUUAAUGCAACUCCACUCUGUCACGUUAUCGCACAACCUCCACCUCGAUAUCUAAAUCACAGUUGCAUCGAUUCUUCUCACUCAAUAUUCUUGUCGAUAGUUGGAUCUCGGAGUUUCGGUUUAAAAGUCUUUGGAGAUUUUGGAUACUGUCCAACCUUUGGAAAGCUUGGAAUUGGGCGUUUUCACAUAACUUAGGACAAAUUGAAGUGGAAAAAGUGUAUAAUCCCCGGGAUCAAGCCAUUGACUGUAGCGACUCAAGACCAAGCCUUGAUUGAACCCCCAUUAUUCUUGUAGACAUUCAUUUUUUAUGUAUAUAGUUAAAUUUUUGUAUUACAUUCAUGGGGUGGUUAGUUGUAUCAAGAGAGACACUAAGAACUCAAAAUUUGAAGGAUCUCGUAUUAGGUUGUAAACAAAUAUGUAAUACCUAGUUUGAAUUUUAACUCUACUUGAAAAUUUGGAACCGUCUGAAUGUGUGUGGUAAGACACACUUGUUGUGUUGUAGUAUCUGAAGUUUGGUUUUAUGCAUGUAGAAGUGAAAAUUUCUCCCC